ensembl:lncRNA
AUGCAGAGACUACUGGCCACCUUCUCUGUGACGGAGGCCCUGCCCCAGCUCACAGUGAGACAGUUGGCAGAGGUGUCCUCUAGUCCAGACCAGCUCAGCUCUGCUGCAGACGUCACCAUGCUGAUGAACUACGUACCCAACAUCCUCUUCACUGACUUCUUCAAUGACUUCUCUCUAGCCAUCACCGGUCAAGAGUCUAAGUUCCCGGUGGCGGUGCGUUCAGCCAUGCUCCAGCAGGUGUUUGAACGCGGGAACCUAUCAGACCGCUCCGUUAGCGACCAGGAGGUACUCACCUGGCUUCAGAGCAGGCUCCGCCCACUGCUGAUCAACCUGUCCCCGCUCCACGUCGCCCCCCUCUUCAGUGUGGUCGCACAGAGGAACUGCAACAUUGGACAGCAGCUGUAAGAGACGGACUGAUCUUCACUGGGGAUUUAGGCUCGCGUCCCAAAUUGCAACCUAUUACUUAUAAACUACGGUCACAAGUAGUGCACUAUGUAGGGAAUAGGGGGCCAUUGGGGAUGUAUCUCAGACUAAAGUAGUGCACUAUGUAGGGAAUAGGGGGCCAUGAGGGGUGUAUCUUAGGGUAAAGUAGUGCACUAUGUAGGGAAUAGGGGGCCAUGAGGGGUGUAUCUUAGGGUAAAGUAGUGCACUAUGUAGGGAAUAGGGGGCCAUGAGGGGUGUAUCUUAGGGUAAAGUAGUGCACUAUGUAGGGAAUAGGGGGCCAUGAGGGGUGUAUCUUAGGGUAAAGUAGUGCACUAUGUAGGGAAUAGGGGGCCAUGAGGGAUGUAUCUUAGGGUAAAGUAGUGCACUAUGUAGGGAAUAGGGGGCCAUGAGGGGUGUAUCUUAGGGUAAAGUAGUGCACUAUGUAGGGAAUAGGGGGCCAUGAGGGAUGUAUCUCAGGGUAAAGUAGUGCACUAUGUAGGGAAUAGGGAGCCAUUGGAGGUGUAUCACAGGGUAAAGUAGUGCACUAUGUAGGGAAUAGGGAGCCAUUGGAGGUGUAUCACAGGGUAAAGUAGUGCACUAUGUAGGGAAUAGGGAGCCAUUAGAGAUGUACAUUAGGGUAAAGUAGUGCACUAUGUUGGGAAUAGGGGGCCAUGAGGGAUGUAUCUCAGGCUAAAGUAGUGCACUAUGUAGGGAAUAGGGGCCAUUAGGGAUGUAUCUCAGACUAAAGUAGUGCACUACGUAGGGAAUAGGGGGCCAUUGGGGAUGUAUCUCAGGCUAAAGUAGUGCACUAUGUAGGGAAUAGGGAGCCAUGAGGGGUGUACCCUGAGUCAGUAGUGAUGUUGAUGUGCAGGGUGUAUCUAUCUUAAAUCUUGCUCUAUGUCACGUGAGACUGUAGAAGCAUGUUUUCCUGAAUCUUUGACUGAUCUCAAAGUGUGUGGGGGGGGGGGGGGCUCCCAGACAGUCACAUGUCCUCUACUCCCCACCGUAUCCGUCCUUCCUACUGUUCUCCCACCCUGCCCCCCUCCCCCUCUGUUUCCAACUGCAUAACAUGUUAAAUGUACAAGAUCCAUGUUAGACGAUAGUGUCAUGUGGGGGGUCGUCUCAUCAGCAGAGGAGAGGGGAGCCAUCUUGUAUUUUGAUGACGGGUAUGUUUCAUUCCUGACACGUUUGUCUCUCCAAGGGUGGAGGUGCUGAACGCCACCCUCCCUACACUUCAGGACAACACACAGAGAAACAUCUACGAUCAAAUCACCCUCUCCCUCCAAGGUACUGACAGACAUCCACAACACAUCCAUUGAAACUAUAAAUACUACAGAAUACUAUGAAACUAUAAAUACUACAGAAUACUAUGAAACUAAAUACUACA